rnacentral:ncRNA from 2 species
UUCUUAUCAAGAGAGGUGGAGGGACUGGCCCUUUGAUACCUCGGCAACGGGUUCUUACGUGAAUACCGUGCCAAUUCCAACCAGGUGAAAGCCUGAAAGAUGAGAG